GACAGAGGGGGCAAGCGUUGCUCGGAAUUACUGGGCGUAAAGGGCGCGUAGGCGGGAUGGCAAGUCGGUCGUGAAAUCCCUCGGCUCAACCGAGGAACGUCGAUCGAUACUGCUGUUCUUGAGGAUUGCAGAGGAGACUGGAAUUCCCGGUGUAGCGGUGAAAUGUGUAGAGAUCGGGAGGAACACCGGUGGCGAAGGCGGGUCUCUGGGCCGAAACUGACGCUGAGGAGCGAAAGCGUGGGGAGCAAACAGG
rnacentral:rRNA from 1 species